UACGUAGGGUGCGAGCGUUAAUCGGAAUUACUGGGCGUAAAGAGUGCGUAGGCGGUUCUUUGUGUCCGCUGUGAAAGCCCCGGGCUUAACCUGGGAAUGGCAGUGGAAACUAGAGAACUUGAAUCUGGCAGAGGGGGGUGGAAUGCCACGUGUAGCAGUGAAAUGCGUAGAUAUGUGGCGGAACACCGAUGGCGAAGGCGGCAUCCUGGACCAACACUGACACUGAGGAGCGAAAGCCAGGGGAGCAAACGGG
rnacentral:rRNA from 1 species